GAGAGCAAGCUUUUCCAGUGACGUACAAAUAAUCAGAUGCCUUGGACGGACUGUGAUGGGCUAACGGAGCAACUCUGCCAGGCUGGCAAGGAAGUGAAGAGACAACUCCAAGCCUAGGACGCCGCCCGGAUCAGGCUCAGUUGUGCGCCUUCCUUCAUCCCCUCAUCCGCCUCCCCUGCUGUGGAGUGCAGGUGGCUGGGGAUGUCACUGGGAGCAGGAGACCUGUUCCCUGCUCUGUGGAAGACGCUAGUCAGGACAGGGACAGGUGGAUGAGUGGAGGGGGGUGCAGAACAUGCAGCCUGUCCCUUGCCCAGGACUUAACUGGGCCAACACAUCCCUGCAGGAUCAACCCUUACAAAGCCAGAGAGUGCUAUGAGGCGGAUCAUGUGGUUAGUUUCCUGUUACCACUGAGGACACUGAGGCACAGAUGGGUUAAACAGCAGUCCAAGGUCACACGGCAAGUCCCAAAAGGAGCUCUCUAAUAAACUCUUCAAUCAGAAGAAUCCUGGAUCAACAUCUUACCUUUGGUGGAGCAUUUGGCAAAAUAUGACAGCAACAGGUGUUAAACUAACCAAAACAAAACAAAGAUAGAUUGUACAGUUAAAUAAAUUUGAAUGUAUUAAACCAAA